GACGAACGCUGGCGGCGUGCUUAACACAUGCAAGUCGAGCGGUAAGGCCCUUUCGGGGGUACGACGAGCGGCGAACGGGUGAGUAACACGUGGGUGACCUGCCCUCAGCUCUGGGAUAAGCCUGGGAAACCGGGUACUAAUACUGGAUAUGACUCCAUGACGCAUGUUGUGGGGUGGAAAGCCUUGUGCGGCUGAGGAUGGGCCCGCGGCCUAUCAGCUUGUUGGUGGGGGUGANGGCCUACCAAGGCGACGACGGGUAGCCGGCCUGAGAGGGCGACCGGCCACACUGGGACUGAGACACGGCCCAGACUCCUACGGGA
rnacentral:rRNA from 1 species